ACGAACGCUGGGCGGCGUGGCCUAAUACAUGCAAGUCGAGCGGACUAAUGGGAGCUUGCUUCCCGUUAGUUAGCGGCGGGACGGGUGAGUAAACACGUGGGCAACCCUACCUGUAAGACUGGGGAUAACUUCGGGAAACCGGAGCUAAUACCGGGAUGACAUAAAGGAACUCCUGUUCCUUUAUUGAAAGAUGGCCUCGGCUAUCACUUACAGAUGGGCCCGCGGCGCAAUUAGCUAGUUGGUGAGGUAACGGCUCACCAAGGCGACGAUGCGUAGGCCGACCUGAGAGGGGUGAUCGGCCACACUGGGACUGAGACACGGCCCCAGACUCCUACGGGAGGCAGCAAGUUAGGGAAUCUUUCCGCAAUGGACGAAAGUCUGACGGAAGCAACGCCGCGUGAGCGAUGAAGGCCUUCGGGUCGUAAAGCUCUGUUGUUAGGGAAGAAUAAGUGGCUAGUUGAAAUAAGCUGGCACCUUGACGGUACCUAACCAGAAAGCCACGGCUAACUACGUGCCAGCAGCCGCGGGGUAAUACGUAGGUGGCAAGCGUUUGUCCGGAAUUAUUGGGGCGUAAAGGCGGCGCGCAGGCGGGUUUCUUAAGUCUGAUGUGAAAGCCCCGGCUCAACACGGGGGAGGGUCAUUGGAAACUGGGGAAACUUGAGGUGCAGAAGAGGAAAAGUGGAAUUCCAAGUGUAGCGGUUGAAAUGCGUAGAGAUUUGGAGGAACAACACCAGUGGCGAAGGCGACUUUUCUGGUCUGUAACUGACGCUGAGGGCGCGAAAAGCGUGGGAGCAAAACAGGAUUAGAUACCCUGGUAGUCCACGCUGUAAACGAUGAGUGCUAAGUGUUAGAGGGGUUUUCCGCCCUUUAGUGCUGAAGUUAACGCAUAUAUAAGCACUCCGCCUGGGGAAGUAACGGUCGCAAAAGACUGAAACUCAAAGGAAUUGACGGGGGGCCCGCACAAGUGGUGGAGCAUGUGGUUUAAUUCGAAGCAACGCGAAGAAACCUUACCAGGUCCUUGACAUCCUCUGACAAACCCUAGAGAUAGGGCUUUCCCCUUCGGGGAACAGAGUGACAGGUGGUGCAUGGUUUGUCGUCAGCUCGUGUUCGUGAGAUGUUGGGGUUAAGUCCCGCAACGAGCGCAACCCUUGAUCUUAGUUGCCAGCAUUUAGUUGGGCACUCUAAGGUGACUGCCGGUGACAAACCGGAGGAAGGUGGGGGAUGACGUCAAAUCAUCAUGCCCCUUAUGACCUGGGCUUACACACGUGCUACAAUGGAUAGUACAAAGGGUUGCAAGACCGCGAGGUGGAGCUAAUCCCAUAAUAACUAUUCUCAGUUCGGAUUGUAGGCUGCAACUCGCCUACAUGAAGCCGGAAUCACUAGUAAUCGCGGAUCAGCAUGCCGCGGUGAAUACGUUUCCCGGGCCUUUGUAUACACCGCCCGUCACACCACGAGAGUUUGUAACACCCGAAGUCGGUGGGGGUAACCUUUUAGGGGCCAGCCGCCUAAGGUGGGACGAUGAUUGGGGUG
rnacentral:rRNA from 1 species